UUUCCGUAGGUGAACCUGCGGAAGGAUCAUUAACGAGUAAGAACCUUCGGGACUUUCUUAUCCAAAGACCUGUGAAAGUUGAUUUUUGCUUUGAGAAUUUAAUUAUUCCCAACAAUCAAAACCACUAAGUGGUCUUUUUUCUGAAUGAUUAUUUAAAAAUCAAAACUUUCAACAACGGAUCUCUUGGUUCUC
rnacentral:misc_RNA from 1 species